rnacentral:rRNA from 1 species
GAUGAACGCUGGCGGCGUGCCUAAUACAUGCAAGUCGAGCGAAUGGAUUAAGAGCUUGCUCUUAUGAAGUUAGCGGCGGACGGGUGAGUAACACGUGGGUAACCUGCCCACAAGACUGGGAUAACUCCGGGAAACCGGGGCUAAUACCGGAUAACAUUUUGAACCGCAUGGUUCGAAAUUGAAAGGCGGCUUCGGCUGUCACUUAUGGAUGGACCCGCGUCGCAUUAGCUAGUUGGUGAGGUAACGGCUCACCAAGGCAACGAUGCGUAGCCGACCUGAGAGGGUGAUCGGCCACACUGGGACUGAGACACGGCCCAGACUCCUACGGGAGGCAGCAGUAGGGAAUCUUCCGCAAUGGACGAAAGUCUGACGGAGCAACGCCGCGUGAGUGAUGAAGGCUUUCGGGUCGUAAAACUCUGUUGUUAGGGAAGAACAAGUGCUAGUUGAAUAAGCUGGCACCUUGACGGUACCUAACCGGAAAGCCACGGCUAACUACGUGCCAGCCGCCGCCGUAA